CGGUCCCGUACGAUCACCGAUGUUAAGCAAUGUUGAUCCUGGUCAGUACCUAGAUGGGUGAUCGCUUGGGAAUAUCAGAUGCUGUAAU